rnacentral:rRNA from 1 species
AGAGUUGAUCCUGGCUCAGGAUGAACGCUAGCGGCAGGCUUAACACAUGCAAGUCGAGGGGCAUCACGAGUAGCAAUACUUGGUGGCGACCGGCGCAAGGGUGCGUAACGCGUGAGCAACAUGCCCGUAUCAGGGGGAUAAUCCAGGGAAACUUGGUCUAAUACCCCAUAGCAAUUGAAGGAGGCAUCUUCUUUGAUUUAAAGCUUUGGUGGAUACGGAUUGGCUCGCGUGACAUUAGCUAGAUGGUAAGGUAACGGCUUACCAUGGCUACGAUGUCUAGGGGUUCUGAGAGGAGGGUCCCCCACACUGGAACUGAGACACGGUCCAGACUCCUACGGGAGGCAGCAGUGAGGAAUAUUGGACAAUGGAUGGAAAUCUGAUCCAGCCAUGCCGCGUGCAGGAAGACGGCCCUAUGGGUUGUAAACUGCUUUUAUAUGGGAGCAAUAAGACCUACGUGUAGGUCGAUGAGAGUACCAUAUGAAUAAGCACCGGCUAACUCCGUGCCAGCAGCCGCGGUAAUACGGAGGGUGCAAGCGUUAUCCGGAUUUAUUGGGUUUAAAGGGUGCGUAGGCGGUUUGAUAAGUCAGCGGUGAAAUAUUUCAGCUUAACUGGAAGGGUGCCGUUGAUACUGUCGAGCUUGAAUUUAGUUGCUGUGGGUGGAAUGUGUGGUGUAGCGGUGAAAUGCAUAGAUAUCACACAGAAUAUCGAUUGCGAAGGCAGCUCACAAAGCUAAUAUUGACGCUGAUGCACGAAAGUGUGGGGAUCAAACAGGAUUAGAUACCCUGGUAGUCCACACUGUAAACGAUGAUAACUCGCUGUCGGCGAUACACAGUCGGUGGCCAAGCGAAAGCGAUAAGUUAUCCACCUGGGGAGUACGACCGCAAGGUUGAAACUCAAAGGAAUUGACGG